AAAGGGCGGGACUUCCGUCGCGCAAGGCGGAGGAAUUUAAACGGGACACAGGAAGAGAAAAUAUUGUUUCCCUUUUUUUUUUAGCUUAGCAUCUCGUGCAAACUAAUCCUACUUUUUUCAGAAAUAUUACUUCCAAUGACAAAAUUGGGUUAAUGUGAGAAGACCUUUUCGGCAUACUUUGCUAGCGCCAGCGUCUUGUUACUGAAGCUCAACAGAACCUACAGAUUCUACCUGUGAAUCCAGUCUAAAUUCCUGUCAAUCAUGAGGUCCUUGGCUGUAGCUGUAAUGCUGUGUGCACUGCUGCCACUGUUCCAUGCUGGCUGCUGGUUUGAACAAGCUAAACCAGGCAUGAGGCAGUGUCUUUACGACAAGGAUGGGACGUUGCAUGAUAUCGGGUCCCGCUGGAGGACCAGUGAUUGCAUGAACUGCUAUUGUCAAGCCAACGGGGACAUGCAAUGCUGUCAGGCGUAUUCUGAGCCCACAAGAUUUCCUGAUGAUUGCAUGAUGGAGUUUGACCAAAAGGCAUGUAAAUACAACGUGUUCAAGAAGACCGACCGCUCCACCUCAUGCCCCAUCUACGGCGGUAAGGGGAAGUGAUGGCUUUUCUUCCCCCGUGCUCUCAGGGAAUGAAGAAUGAAAGGGAAAAGUACAGUAUUUGUUUUAUAGAUUUAAUUGACAUAAUUGUUAGCUUAGCUCAGCCAUACUGUCGGGUAACUUUCUGUUACUGUAACGAUUGAAAAGCCAUACUGUAAUGUGUAUCAUUGAAGAUCUGUUAUCAUCUGCUCUGACUGUGUCAUGAGAAGAACCUGGGUUCAAAUACUAUCUGAACCUGUGAGCGUUUGAUCUGUCCUGCCUGGAGUGCCAGAUGGGCGGAGUUUGCUAUUUUGGGGCAAUUCUAUUGGUUCACAAAGCCAGUGUUUCCUGACCCUGGACCUCAAGUACCCCCAACAGUACAAAUGUUUACUGUAAACCUGGACAAGCACACUUGAUUCAACUUGUUAACUAAUCAUAAAGCCUUCAAUGAGUUGACUGAGUUGUUUGUCCAGGGCUGAAGUUUAAAAUGUGUUAUGUUGGGGGUACUGGAGGACCAGGGUUGGGCUGUUGGGGGUACUGGAGGACCAGGGUUGGGAUGUUGGGGGUACUGGAGGACCAGGGUUGGGCUGUUGGGGGUACUGGAGGACCAGGGUUGGGAUGUUGGGGGUACUGGAGGACCAGGGUUGGGAUGUUGGGGGUACUGGAGGACCAGGGUUGGGCUGUUGGGGGUACUGGAGGACCAGGGUUGGGAUGUUGGGGGUACUGGAGGACCAGGGUUGGGAUGUUGGGGGUACUGGAGGACCAGGGUUGGGCUGUUGGGGGUACUGGAGGACCAGGGUUGGGCUGUUGGGCGUACUGGAGGACCAGGGUUGGGCUGUUGGGCGUACUGGAGGACCAGGGUUGGGCGUACUGGAGGACCAGGGUUGGGAAACACUGCAUUUAGCCAUGCAAGCUCAAUCAAUCAAGAUAAAGUAUUUGAAAUUAUUUCAAAUAUUAUUUGAACCCAGGUCUGUUAAAGACACAUAAGCUGCAUAAUGUACAUGAGGUGUUGAUAUAUAACCUUGAAUAAUAAUACUGUUUAUCAAUGCUUUCUUAUUAGUCCAUAGCCAUAAAGGUGGAUAUUGAUAUGCUGUUUCUCCUGUGGUUCCCGACCCACAAUGCAGUUGCUUUGGAUACAUUUAUACAUACAUUCAUUUAAUGUCAAUAAAUCUAUACAAUCAAG